UCCUCAGUGGUGCAGUGGUAUCAUGCGUUCUCGGUAUGAAUGAAACGCGGGUUCGCUUCCCGCCUGAGGCC